AUGGGUGUCCUGACCCAGCUCCUCUGCCUUCUGCUGGCCUGCCUCCCAGCCGCUAGCGGGAACGCUGGGCUGACCCAGUCUCCGGCCUUCCUCUCUGUGUCCCUGAGAGAGAGCGUGUCCAUCACCUGCAGGGCCAACGAGAGCAUCAGCGAUUACUUGAGCUGGUGUCAGCAGAAACCAGGCCAGGCUCCUAAGCUUCUCAUCUAUGAUGCUGAUAACCUAAUGUCUGGGGUCCCAGACCGGUUCUCUGCCAUUCAGUCUCACAGAAUUCAUCCUCAAAAUCAGCACAGCAGAGGCUGCGGAUGCUGCCAGUUAUUACUGCCAGCAGGAUUAUACAGUUCCUCCCACGGUGCCACAGCCCUGA